rnacentral:tRNA from 1 species
GUAAGCAUAGUAUAAAGGUUAGUAUGUCUUCCUUCCAAGUAGACGGUUCCAGUUCGAUUCUGGAUGCUUAUA